rnacentral:snoRNA from 1 species
CUGCUAAUGACGAGAAAAUCAUCCUUGCUCUGCGAGCUGCAUUGGAAUUCGAUGGGGGCUAUGUACCAUCGGGGUGCUAGUGUCACAUCGUAGAUAACGAUGCAGCGGUGAACAGCGUUGGCCUCUGAAGCAG